UAGUAAAAAUAAGCUGAAGAUGCUAAAAAACAAAAAAAACAAAUGCAUUGCAAGCAAUACUAUAAGUUUUCAUUCCUCUGUUUCGUGACUUAAUUUAUGGGACGAUUAAACCCCAUCCAGGAGCAGCUAGGCAGCAGCAGCUUCUCUGAGUGCCGCUUUUUGCUUUGAGGACACCCUUGAGCGAUCGCACACACCGACAUUGACGGCUCCAGGGCCACCUGAUACCCCGCCUGGGACAAACGAAGCCGACACCUGAGUUCUGGCCGUCUUUGGGGCUCUUCACACCUGCAGCUGAGGUCAACUUACAACCAUUGACCCGGACAGGCAUCCUCCUCUCUGUUCUCGUUAUGCUGUUGUGAAACCAAAACCAAGAGAAUCGAAAUUGCAAAUGGUGAAUUUGUUAACGUCUCAUUCUUUUCUUUUGACCAUCUCUCAUGUCUUCAUCUUGCUUUUUCGUGUAAUCUCACUGGUAUUUUAUUUACCCUGGUUUUUCUUCCACUUCUACCACUCUUUUUGUUGCUUUCUGACUUAUAUUCAAACUGCAGGGCCAUGACCAAAUGGCAUUUUACUCACAAUGUCAAUUUCCCUUGGAAUGCGCUCCGGGUGUGUGACCCGGAGUAUUUCACCUUUCCUUCUUUAUGAAACACCUACAUGAACUUUUAGCCAAACAGUAGCCUCACCAAGACAAUAAUCUUAUCUUAAAGUCCUAAAUGUGAUAGGAGGACUUCCAGUAAAGCCAUUGAGAGUGAGCUUGUGCAUUAUAAUGAAACUCAAUGUGAACCAAAAGAGGAGGGGGGGGUUCAUUGUUUCAGUUUGUAGACUUGGGUUAGGCAUCUUGUUAGAAAGAUGAAAAGCUUGAGGUAUUCUACCCACCAGAUCGUUGAAGUCUCUGCCCUGUCAUUAGCAACAAACGGCCAGAGGUCUGGCCUCCUGCUGUUUUAAAAUCCCAUGACGCUCACUGGAAAACGCGCACAAGAAUACAUCUCUGCAGCGCAUUGACUCAAAAUACUCCACAUUUUAUGGUAGUCUUUCUUCUUUGUAAAAAGCAAAGGCUCUGGAUGGAUUAAAUGGCAAUAAAUAUGGAUGAAUCUACUGCGUUUACACUUUUGGAGACAUGGCCCAGAAGCAGGUCAAUGAUUUACAGUAAAUCUACAACACAGGGGGAAAUCAGCUUUAUACUACCAACGCCUGUGAUGACCCAAGUCUAAGUAAUCCUUUAGAUAACGGAUCUUUUCACAGAUACAACUAAAAGGGAAACUGCGGGCAUAAACAUAAAUUAAAUCGGUUAUUUUAAUUACUUUAUGUCCCGCAUGAACUGGUGAUAGUUUUAAACCCAAAUCUAAGCUUUGAGACCCACUGCCAAAACGUUUUACUCACAAAGUGCGUUUUUAUCACCUGAUGAGUCUUCGUACACAAGACUGUGUUUGUUUUGGAUUAGAUUUCUAUAACUACACUUCCAAAAGUUCAAAAGUUAGCUUGUCGAAUGCUGACUGAAAGCAGUUUUAUUGCUGGAUUUUCCUAACAAUAUAUUUUGAGAUACAAUUAGUCUUUACAGAUCUCCAGAUCAUCUUUGUCUUUACUUUGUAAACCUGGGCACCUAAAUGAUGCCCAAAUGAUUUUGAUGAUCAUUUAGGUAUCAUGAUUUUGAUACCUAAAUGUAUCAAAAGUGAAAAACAAAACAAAACCAAAAAAAAAAAAGGAAUCUCUAUUUCUAAAUAUAGAGCUGUGUGUGUGUGUGUUUUCUUUUUUCUUUUGGUGCCUGACUGCAUUGGCUUGUUCUGAGACGUUCGCUGAAGUGAUUGUAUGGGUGUGCAGGUGUAAAUAAGAAAAUAUCUUGACAUGUUGAUUUUGAAUAUUCCGUUUCCUUUUUGUCAUUUUGACCUCUUAAACCCUUUGCAUUGAAUAUAAUGAAAGAAAUGUGGCACACAAGAAGUUUUUAAUUGAUUGAUAACUGCUUACCAAGGUUAAACUCCAGUUCUGUGGUUACUGCUUCACCGUAAAUACAUCUCUUUAUUAUAUCACACAUCUAUUUCCUGUUUUUCCUCCAUCGGAGUCUGAGAUCGCACCUGAUGUCCUGAACUGCAAACAUAAAGGGUUUUCCAUUGGUGCCAUUAUUGUCCUGGAUACAAGUUUGACCCCAAGCCGGUCGGAGCAGUUUUGGACUGCUUUGCCGGAGGCAUUUACGGCUUGUGCUCGUGUUGAAGAUCCUGUAAACAAGCAGACGUUCUGAGCGGUGAAAGACGGUUGGGGAUGUGGAGGUCACUGGAGAAACCGCCCCACCUCAGCAAGUCUUGCAGUGCAUUUCAGAACGAUAACACACCUAAAGGAUAGUGGAUGCGAGGUUGUGAAAUAAAUUUGACCCUUUACCUCAUGGCCUGAUCUUUGCUGUUUUUUGAUGAUUUUGAUGUUUUUUGCAUUUCUUGAUUGAAUCUCUAGAAAUGCUUUCUAAACUGUUUUUUAUGCUUUUUAGCUACUGUAGCAUUUUAACAUUAUCUUCUGUUUGAUAGAGAAGGUGAUGUAGCCCCACAGCUGCUGCCAGUACUCCUCCCUGUUCCACCUUACGCACUUUGGAGAAGAGUUUCAGACCCAUCAACCUGGACGUUCAGAAGGUUUCAUUGAUAUCCAACUCGUUGGGACAAACCUGGUGGCGCAUCUACAACAUGCGACAACAUAGAACCCGUUUGUCCUCAUGCUGGCAGACAGGCAAAAAUGCUAAAGUGUUGGUAAAAAAUACUCCUUGUUUAAAGGCUGAAAUUUUUACUUGUAGUUUGCUCUAAAACAGACUUUUUACAUAAAAUGUUUUCUUAAUGUGUAGUAACAGAUACUUCUGGGGUUGUAGCCAAAUAAUGUCUUGAAGUGAUUUAAGGAUUAAAAAAAAAAAAGUAUUGCUUAUAUUUUUUGUAGCUUUUGUUAAAUGAAUUCUGUUGGCUCUAUGUAUGUAUCACAUGGAAAUAAAAGAAGCUUUAAAUUCA